UGUGACCUGGAGAGACGAGGAAGGAAGUAGCUCAGUGGGGGCUUCUGGUCAGAGGGAGGUGACUCCCAGCACGCUCCGGAGACCCCGAACGCACUGAGGAGCAUGCUGGGAAGGGGUGGCCGGGGCUUGAGAAACAUGUGUAUGUAUGUACAUGCGUGUGCGCACGUCCCUACGGAUGUCUAGGCGUGUGUGUAUGCGUGUGUGUAUGCGUGUGCAGACCGCAGCUCAUCUUCAGGAAGGGGAAGCUCUGAAUCUUAGAAUCACAGAUUCAAAGGCGUCCUCGGGACCAGCAAAUGGGGAAACCGAGGCCCAGAUGGGGAAGUCCUUCCAGGAUCCCACAGUAAACUGGAUGGCCGAUUCAAAGGACUGAAUAAUGGCCAACCGAUAACACACAGAAGGGACAUCGUUCAAGUUUGCCCCGAGACCCUCCCUGGCUGAGUGCCCCCUGCUCAAGUCAAGUCACUUCACUCAGUCUGAAAAAUGGAGAAGGAAAUAGCCAACCUCUCUCAUAGCUUUGCCCAGAAAAAACCCUCAAAAGGGGUCACAAGAGGAGGUCACCAGUGAAAUGACCGAGCAACAAGAAGCGGGGAACAUUCUGGGGCAGCGUUCUAGCUAACAUCCCGUAUUUGCUGGUUACACUGGGGGAUGGCUGCCUGGGAACGCGAGCUCCACGGGACAAACCGAAGGGAGUCCCCCUCACAAACAAUAAUAACGAACCCGGGCUUAAAAGAACCCGGGGCUUCAAAGAGGGCCCAGCUUUUCUGCCAAUCAAAGAGUGCCACCCCUGGGCGCCAAGCUGGACUUGCACAAAGAUCCGGCUUUGUCUAAAUCAGGUCAUGGAUAUAGUUGGCUGCUAACUGUAAGGACUGGGGCUUGUUCUGCCUUCUCAACUAUCAGUGCAGGGGAGGAGCGCAGAGAAAAUCAGAAGGGAGCGACGGAUGAAUGGAAGAACAGAGGGAUGGAGGGAGGAGGGAGAAAAAUAUGGAUGAAAAGAGGGCUGGAGGAUUAAUCAAUGGAGGGAGAGGGAAGGAUGAAUGGAAGAAUAGGAGGGAGAAAAAUAUAGAUGAAGAGAGGAUCGGGGAUUAAUGAGUGGAGGGAGAAGGAAAGAUGAAUAGAAUAGAGGGAUGGAGGGGAAGAGGAAUAGAGAAAAAUAUGGAUGAAGAGAGCAGGAAAAUUAAUGAAUGGAGGGAGAGGGGAGGAUGAAUGGAGAAUAGAGAGACAGAUGGAAAAGAAUAGAGAAAAGUAUGGAUGAAGGAAGAGAUGGCAGGAUUAAUAGAAUGGAAAAUGGAGCGAUGUUGGGAUGUUGGGAGGAUGUUAGUAUGCUGAGAGCUGGAGGAGACAGGGAAUAGAAAAAGUGACAAAGCCUCACUGUGUCCUGGCAAGAUCAUGGGCUCGUCAGGUUCUUUAAGAGUGGAAGAAAAAGCCAAAUAAAAGAGGGCAGAAGAGCGCCACUAGAUCAGCCUCCAGUUCUGGCCCCGUGUGCCUCUGGGUAGCACCGACUCCCUACUUUGUCAUCUUCUCUUUGCACUGCUUCAGUUGCCUCUUAUCCAUGUCCUGCUUUCUAGGUUCUACACUUUCUAAGCAUUCUAACGGUUGUCAAGUUCAGCAUCUUCAGUUCUAGGAGCAGCUAAGUGGUGCAGCGAAUGGAGCACCGGCCCAGAAGCCCUGAGUUCCAGUCCAGCUCAGACACUGGACACUUACUAGCUGGGUGACCCUGGGCAAGUCACAUAACCCUGAUUGUCUCCCAAAACAACAACAACAAAACACACACACACACACACACACACACAGAGAAGUUCUCACAGCAUCCCUCCCCCUUCACGAGUCUUCAGUGGCUCCUGACUGACUGCCUUUGGGCAACGACAAGCCCCAAACUCCCUGGCUUAGGAGUGAAGGCCUCUCACAAUCCAGUGCCUUCUCGUGCCUCUUUCUUAUCACUCUCCUCUGGCCAAACUGGUCUGACACCUGGUUCCUUAAGCUGAUCUGUCAUGUCUAGCCCCUGUAACCUUGUACAAGCCCUUCUCCCUGGAAGGCAAUGCACUCCCUCCUCUUGAGAAUCCUAAAUGUCCUUUAAGGAGACCCGAGUUCAAAUCUAGCUGUGACCUGGAACCAGACACGGAUCACCUCCUUCUCCAUGUGCAGCUGCUCUGCAAUCAGCAGGAUCUCCUCUGAGCUCGCCCCGGGCCUCCUCUCUCCGCCCCCCUCAGCACCGCGGACAGCGGCGGGCGCUCUGCGCAGCCGCCCCGGGCCGCCGCCCCGCUCCCACACCC